CCACAUCACGUUAAAACACUGGUUCCCGUACAAUCACCGAAGUUAAGCAACGUCGAGCCUGGUCUAUACCUAGAUGGGUGAGCGCUUGGGAAUACCAUGUUCUGUAA